UACAGAGGGGGCAAGCGUUAUUCGGAAUUAUUGGCGUAAAGGGCGCGUAGGCGGCCAGGCAAGUGGAAGGUGAAAUCCCUCGGCUUAACCGAGGAACUGCCCUCCAAACUGCUUGGCUUGAGACCGGGAGAGGUGAGUGGAAUUCCCAGUGUAGCGGUGAAAUGCGUAGAUAUUGGGAGGAACACCAGUGGCGAAGGCGGCUCACUGGACCGGUACUGACGCUGAGGCGCGAAAGCGUGGGAGCAAACGGG
rnacentral:rRNA from 1 species